AGGACGAACGCUGGCGGCGUGCUUAACACAUGCAAGUCGAGCGGUAAGGCCCUUUCGGGGGUACACGAGCGGCGAACGGGUGAGUAACACGUGGGUGACCUGCCCUUAGCUCUGGGAUAAGCCUGGGAAACUGGGUCUAAUACCGGAUAUGACCUCGCGAUGCAUGUCGUGGGGUGGAAAGCCUUGUGCGGCUAGGGAUGGGCCCGCGGCCUAUCAGCUUGUUGGUGGGGUGAUGGCCUACCAAGGCGACGACGGGUAGCCGGCCUGAGAGGGCGACCGGCCACACUGGGACUGAGACACGGCCCAGACUCCUACGGGAGGCAGCAGUGGGGAAUCUUGCGCAAUGGGCGAAAGCCUGACGCAGCGACGCCGCGUGAGGGAUGACGGCCUUCGGGUUGUAACCUCUUUCAGCCCUGACGAAGCGAAAGUGACGGUAGGGCGAGAAGAAGCACCGGCCAACUACGUGCCAGCAGCCGCGGUA
rnacentral:rRNA from 1 species